rnacentral:rRNA from 1 species
AGUGAACGCUGGCGGCAGGCCUAACACAUGCAAGUCGAGCGGCAGCGCGUCCGACCACCCUCGGGUGGUCGGAUGGCGGCGAGCGGCGGACGGGUGAGGAAUGCAUCGGAAUCUGCCUCGUUGUGGGGGAUAACGUAGGGAAACUUACGCUAAUACCGCAUACGACCUACGGGUGAAAGUGGGGGACCUUCGGGCCUCACGCGAUGAGAUGAGCCGAUGCCGGAUUAGCUAGUUGGCGGGGUAAAGGCCCACCAAGGCGACGAUCCGUAGCUGGUCUGAGAGGAUGAUCAGCCACACUGGAACUGAGACACGGUCCAGACUCCUACGGGAGGCAGCAGUGGGGAAUAUUGGACAAUGGGCGAAAGCCUGAUCCAGCGACGCCGCGUGUGUGAAGAAGGCCUGCGGGUUGUAAAGCACUUUAGUGGGGAUGAAAAGCCUAGAGCUAAUACCUCUGGGUCUUGACCUAA